CUCCCCCUGACUUGGCGUGGUUCUGCUUCUGUAAGAUUCUGCUCGCUCUCCCCUGAGCCCUCCCCCACUGAAAGCAGGAUGUAAAAGGAGAAAUCAAAUCGCUUCCCAUUGCCGAGGAACCUUUCUGGGCGCUAGCCCACCUCGGCCGCUGGGUAUAAUAGACGGGCUCGAAUCCGGCUCAGAGCGUGGCGCGUCUCUACUGCUGAGGUAGAACCCAGAAGGGAUUCAUUGAGACAGUAAAUCAGGAGAAAAGGACUGUAAGGAGAUGGGUCCUGAUUGCAGGAGGUCACUGGAGUGUGACCGAGAGGAUGCGUUCUUGUCCCCAGCUCUUCCCUUCUCACUCUGCCUCUGAUGACAGGAACAGCUUUUCUCCACUGGAUCUUUCUGCCAUGAUGUUCGUGACUUGGAGCAGCCAAGCACAGACUGAACCUUGUGAACUAUGGCUCACACUCAGAAUCUAUUCAUUUGCCAUGAAGAUCAUCAAGCAGCUCUCCAAGGAAGACUAUGUGUUGAGAAACAUGUCCCAUGCCGAAAGCCGGAAGGAACUCAUCAGCCAUGCGAGGAAGCCUGCUGGGCAGUGGAUUCUUCAGCUCCACACACACCUUCAGAGGAUUGCAGUUCUAGCUGAAUUAUGAUUGAAUCUCAUGAGAAACUCCAAGGCAGAGCCAUCCAGCCAAGUCACUCCCUAAUUUCUGAUGCGCAGAGCAUGAGACACGAAAGAACGUCUUCAUUCACUUCUCCAUUUCCAAGCAAUUGCAGCUUGGGGAACACAUCGCACUCAAUCCUGUGGAGAAAAAUGAAUUUCUGUACACGGAGGACAUCUAAGAGAUGAGUCUGCACAUAUCAUGGAAGAUGGGAUUCAGAGAGUAAAGAAAGAAUCUGAGAAGGGAGACAGACCCACCCACUGACAUCAGCAGUCACCUGGCUUCUACCUCCAACAGCAAGUCAGCUAUACCAGCUCCAUAAUCCAAUCACCUUCCAAAUACAGGAGGCUUUGAGGUCCAUUUCAGAUCUAAACCAUCACUCCCUCUCUUUCAAAAAUUCAGUGAUAUCCAAGAAUUUGCCUUUAUUCACAAGUAGAUCUGUGGAUUGCAGCUUGAUAUCUUAUACUGUCUCCUGUGAAGAAGGGAUGAAAACAGAACCUGGUCCCUAAAAUAUUUCUACUCCCAAUGAGGACACUGCUAGCAGCCACUUGCCUCUUUAUUCUUCAGUGCCUUCAGAUAACUGUUUUUAACAUUUCAAGAAUUUUUUUACUGAUCUACAGAGGAGUCAUUUUAGUAAGCUCUUGAUCAUUCCCUGGAGACAUUUUAAAACUCUUCUGAACUUGCAUUUGAUGUCUAGUUUCUCCCAUAGGAACACUGAUAUUUGUCAAAGGAUAUAUUUUUGUUUGGAAAAUACAUCCUUAGGAAAAGACAGAUAUUUCUAUUUUGUGCCUUAGAAAAGCCUUUCUAUGUAUUUAAUCUUUCAGUAACUAUGGGUUGCAACUUAAUAUGCAUUAGAUAUUUUGCCAGAUCUGUGCAGAUAUGAUUGGGGGAAAGGGGUGGUACAGAAACAAAUUACAUGUAUAUUACAUUUUAAAGUAGUUUCC
ensembl:lncRNA